rnacentral:rRNA from 1 species
UGAGGAAUAUUGGUCAAUGGCCGAAGGGCUGAACCAGCCAAGCCGCGUGAAGGAUUAAGGCCCUACGGGUCGUAAACUUCUUUAGUCAGGGAACAAAGGGCGCCACGUGUGGCGCUGUGAGUGUACCUGAAGAAUAAGCAUCGGCUAACUCCGUGCCAGCAGCCGCGGUAAUACGGAGGAUGCGAGCGUUAUCCGGAUUUAUUGGGUUUAAAGGGUGCGUAGGCGGUUUGUCAAGUCAGCGGUAAAAAUUCCGGGCUCAACCCGGUCCCGCCGUUGAAACUGGCGAACUCGAGAGGGAGAGAAGUAGGCGGAAUGCGCAGUGUAGCGGUGAAAUGCAUAGAUAUUGCGCAGAACUCCGAUUGCGAAGGCAGCCUACCGGCUCCUGUCUGACGCUGAGGCACGAAAGCGUGGGUAUCGAACAGG